rfam:Lactobacillus sharpeae JCM 1186 = DSM 20505 NODE_16, whole genome shotgun sequence.
AAUACCUUUAAUCAAGUCCAGAGAGGCUUAGAAGGAACUCGGCACCCGCAAGUGAUUACUUGCGGCCAAAACCAUGCCUCCCGUCUAACUCUGGACGGGAGGUAUUUUUU